rnacentral:rRNA from 1 species
UACGGGGGGGGGCAAGCGUUGUUCGGAAUUAUUGGGCGUAAAGCGUCCGCAGGUGGCACUUCAAGUCUGCUGUCAAAGACCGGGGCUUAACCCUGGAAAGGCAGUGGAAACUGAAGCGCUAGAGUGUGGCAGGGGUAGAGGGAAUUCCCGGUGUAGCGGUGAAAUGCGUAGAGAUCGGGAAGAACAUCGGUGGCGAAAGCGCUCUACUGGGCCAUAAACUGACACUCAGGGACGAAAAGCUAGGGGAGCGAAUGGG